UAGUUGCUAGCAUUAGACCCGAAACCGAGUGAUCUAGCCAUGGGCAGGUUGAAGGUUGAGUAACAUCAACUGGAGGACCGAACUCACUAACGUUGAAAAGUUAGGAGAUGACCUGUGGCUAGGGGUGAAAGGCCAAUCAAACUCGGAGAUAGCUGGUUCUCCCCGAAAGCUAUUUAGGUAGCGCCUCGGACGAAUACUACUGGGGGUAGAGCACUGUUAAGGCUAGGGGGUCAUCCCGACUUACCAACCCUUUGCAAACUCCGAAUACCAGUAAGUACUAUCCGGGAGACACACGGCGGGUGCUAACGUCCGUCGUGGAGAGGGAAACAACCCAGACCGCCAGCUAAGGUCCCCAAGUUAUCGCUAAGUGGGAAACGAUGUGGGAAGGCUCAGACAGCCAGGAUGUUGGCUUAGAAGCAGCCAUCAUUUAAAGAAAGCGUAAUAGCUCACUGGUCGAGUCGGCCUGCGCGGAAGAUGUAACGGGGCUAAGCGAUACACCGAAGCUGCGGCARUGUCCUUAUGGAYAUUGGGUAGGGGAGCGUUGUGUAAGCUGUUGAAGGUGUGCUGAGAGGCAUGCUGGAGGUAUCACAAGUGCGAAUGCUGACAUGAGUAACGAUAAAGGGGGUGAAAAACCUCCUCGCCGGAAGACCAAGGGUUCCUGUCCAACGUUAAUCGGGGCAGGGUAAGUCGGCCCCUAAGGCGAGGCCGAAAGGCGUAGUCGAUGGRAAACGGGUUAAUAUUCCCGUACUGCUGCUUACUGCGAUGGGGGGACGGAGAAGGCUAGGUGGGCCUGGCGAUGGUUGUCCAGGUUCAAGUGCGUAGGCUGAUUUCUUAGGCAAAUCCGGGAAAUCAAGGCCGAGACACGAUGUCGAGCCACCAAGGUGGUGAAGUCAUUGAUGCCAUGCUUCCGGGAAAAGCCUCUAAGCUUCAGGUAAGUAGCAACCGUACUCCAAACCGACACAGGUGGUCGGGUAGAGAAUACCAAGGCGCUUGAGAGAACUCGGGUGAAGGAACUAGGCAAAAUGGUACCGUAACUUCGGGAGAAGGUACGCUGCCCGCGGUGAAGUCCCUUGCGGAUGGAGCUAUGGGCAGUCGCAGAUACCAGGUGGCUGCAACUGUUUAUUAAAAACACAGCACUGUGCAAAAUCGAAAGAUGACGUAUACGGUGUGACGCCUGCCCGGUGCCGGAAGGUUAAUUGAUGUGGUUAUCGCAAGAGAAGCCAUUGAUUGAAGCCCCGGUAAACGGCGGCCGUAACUAUAACGGUCCUAAGGUAGCGAAAUUCCUUGUCGGGUAAGUUCCGACCUGCACGAAUGGCGUAAUGAUGGCCACGCUGUCUCCACCCGAGACUCAGUGAAAUUGAAAUCGCAGUGAAGAUGCUGUGUACCCGCGGCUAGACGGAAAGACCCCGUGAACCUUUACUACAGCUUGGCACUGAACAUUGAGCCUACAUGUGUAGGAUAGGUGGGAGGCUUUGAAGCGGCGACGCCAGUUGCUGUGGAGCCAUCCUUGAAAUACCACCCUUGUAUGUUUGAUGUUCUAACUUAGCCCCRUUAUCYGGGGUGAGGACAGUGCCUGGUGGGUAGUUUGACUGGGGCGGUCUCCUCCCAAAGCGUAACGGAGGAGCACGAAGGUGGGCUAAUCACGGUCGGACAUCGUGAGGUUAGUGCAAUGGCAUAAGCCCGCUUAACUGCGAGAGUGACGGCUCGAGCAGGUACGAAAGUAGGUCAUAGUGAUCCGGUGGUUCUGAAUGGAAGGGCCAUCGCUCAACGGAUAAAAGGUACUCCGGGGAUAACAGGCUGAUACCGCCCAAGAGUUCAUAUCGACGGCGGUGUUUGGCACCUCGAUGUCGGCUCAUCACAUCCUGGGGCUGAAGUCGGUCCCAAGGGUAUGGCUGUUCGCCAUUUAAAGUGGUACGCGAGCUGGGUUUAGAACGUCGUGAGACAGUUCGGUCCCUAUCUGCCGUGGGCGUUGGAUGAUUGAGGGGAGCUGCUCCUAGUACGAGAGGACCGGAGUGGACGAACCGCUGGUGUUCGGGUUGUGUCGCCAGACGCAUUGCCCGGUAGCUAAGUUCGGCACAGAUAAGCGCUGAAAGCAUCUAAGCGCGAAGCUGGCCCCGAGAUGAGUCAUCCCUAGAGCUUNAGAUAAGCGCUGAAAGCAUCUAAGCGCGAAGCUGGCCCCGAGAUGAGUCAUCCCUAGAGCUUCGAGCUCUCUAAAGGGUUGUUCUAGACUAGAACGUUGAUAGGCAGGGUGUGUAAGCGCUGUGAGGCGUUGAGCUAACCUGUACUAAUUGCCCGUGAGGCUUAACCAUACAACACCCAAG
rnacentral:rRNA from 1 species